CGGAGCAAUCCGGUCCGCCG
rnacentral:snRNA from 1 species